rnacentral:lncRNA from 1 species
AAAAUCAACACACAAACUUUUGUUAAAGUUUCACAUGAGCACUUUAUGUUCCUCUGCAGAUAUCUCAGUGACCGUGCAGAGAGACGAGCUCAGAAUAAAACUGGAUGAACUAAAUGACAAAAUCAACCAGAUGCAGAAACAAUGCCCAGAGUUCGAGAACUCAAACAUAACUGGUGGUUGGCCUGAUAUUGGAUUUCCAGAUGAUCGACCCGAGGCGACCAAACAAAACGCAACUGAGAGAGGCUCUUUAACAAACAUCACUGAAGUGAACAACACCUCAAACGCGACUGAGAAAGGGAACGGCUGUCCUCCAGGAUGGGUGAAGGUCGGCUGCAGCUGUUAUUAUGAAUACACCAUAGUGUCCGCUUUGCAGAAGAGCAAAGAAGACUGUGAGAAGAAGGGAGGAAAUCUGAUGGUUGUGAACAGCAUCCAAAAACAGAGAAUACUGAAGGGCGAAACACCUACAGAUGUCCUGCAGUGUGGCUCAGCGACGCCUCCGCCGUGACGGGAGGAGAUCAUGAGAGCGG